rnacentral:rRNA from 1 species
UACGUAGGGUGCGAGCGUUGCCCGGAUUUAUUGGGCGUAAAGGGCGCGUAGGCGGCUCGGCACGUCCGUUGUGAAAUCGCCCGGCUCAACUGGGCGGGGUCAGCGGAUACGGUCGAGCUUGAGCAAGCUAGGGGGUAAUGGAAUUCCCGGUGUAGUGGUGAAAUGCGUAGAUAUCGGGAGGAACACCAGUGGCGAAGGCGACUUCCUGGCCUGUUCUUGACGCUGAGGCGCGAAAGCUAGGGGAGCAAACGGG